CAAUAGCAUAUAUUAACGUUGUUGCAGUUGAAAAGCUCGUAGUUGAACUUUUGGUAGGAGCGACCUGGCCUUGGGCGCAUGCCCUUGUUUGCCGUGUGUCGUGUCUGGCCAUCCUUUUCUUCGUUUUUCGGGGGGAUCUUUUACUGUGAGUAAACUGGAGUGCUCAAAACAAGACGUUUGUUUGGUACAUUAAAGCAUGGAAUAAUAAGAUAGGACCUGGUUACUAUUUUGUUGGUUUGCAUAGCUAGGUAAUGAUUAACAGGGACAGUUGGGGGUAUUCGUAUUUAAUUGUCAGAGGUGAAAUUCUUGGAUUUAUGAAAGACGAACGACUGCGAAAGCAUUUACCAAGGAUGUUUUCAUUAA
rnacentral:rRNA from 1 species